UACGUAGGGUGCAAGCGUUGUCCGGAAUUAUUGGGCGUAAAGAGCUCGUAGGCGGUCUGUCGCGUCUGCUGUGAAAACUCAGGGCUUAACCCUGAGCUUGCAGUGGGUACGGGCAGACUAGAGUGCGGUAGGGAGACUGGAAUUCCUGGUGUAGCGGUGAAAUGCGCAGAUAUCAGGAGGAACACCGGUGGCGAAGGCGGGUCUCUGGGCCGUAACUGACGCUGGAGGAGCGGAAAGCGUCGGGGAGCGAACAGG
rnacentral:rRNA from 1 species